GACAGAGGGGGCAAGCGUUGCUCGGAAUUACUGGGCGUAAAGGGCGCGUAGGCGGGAUGGCAAGUCGGUCGUGAAAUCCCUCGGCUCAACUGAGGAUCGUCGAUCGAUACUGCCGUUCUUGAGGAUUGCAGAGGAGACUGGAAUUCCCGGUGUAGCGGUGAAAUGUGUAGAGAUCGGGAGGAACACCGGUGGCGAAGGCGGGUCUCUGGGCCGAUACUGACGCUGAGGAGCGAAAGCGUGGGGAGCGAACAGG
rnacentral:rRNA from 1 species